AGUGAACGCUGGCGGUAGGCCUAACACAUGCAAGUCGAACGGCAGCACAGUAAGAGCUUGCUCUUACGGGUGGCGAGUGGCGGACGGGUGAGGAAUACAUCGGAAUCUACUUUUUCGUGGGGGACAACGUAGGGAAACUUACGCUAAUACCGCAUACGACCUACGGGUGAAAGCAGGGGAUCUUCGGACCUUGCGCGAUUGAAUGAGCCGAUGUCGGAUUAGCUAGUUGGCGGGGUAAAGGCCCACCAAGGCGACGAUCCGUAGCUGGUCUGAGAGGAUGAUCAGCCACACUGGAACUGAGACACGGUCCAGACUCCUACGGGAGGCAGCAGUGGGGAAUAUUGGACAAUGGGCGAAAGCCUGAUCCAGCCAUACCGCGUGGGUGAAGAAGGCCUUCGGGUUGUAAAGCCCUUUUGUUGGGAAAGAAAAGCAGCAGGUGAAUACCCCGCUGUUCUGACGGUACCCAAAGAAUAAGCACCGGCUAACUUCGUG
rnacentral:rRNA from 1 species